GAUUAACGCUGGCGGCGUGCAUAACACAUGCCAGUCGAACGAUGAAACUUUAAUGACCCCUUCGGGGAGAAUUAAAGCGGAUUAGUGGCGAACGGGUGAGUAACGCGUGAGUAACCUGCCUUACACAAGGGGAUAGCCUUUGGAAACGAAGAAUAAUACCCUAUAAAACCAUAAAAGCACAUGCAAUUAUGGUCAAAGUGAUAGCGGUGUAAGAUGGACUUGCGUCUGAUUAGCUAGUUGGUGAGAUAAAAGCCCACCAAGGCAACGAUCAGUAGCCGGCUUGAGAGAGUGUACGGCCGCAUUGGGACUGAGACACGGCCCAGACUCCUACGGGAGGCAGCAGUGGGGAAUUUUGCACAAUGGGGGAAACCCUGAUGCAGCGACGCCGCGUGAUUUAGAAGGCCUUCGGGUUGUAAAAAUCUUUUGUAUAGGAAGAAAAUGACAGUACUAUACGAAUAAGGUCCGGCUAAUUACGUG
rnacentral:rRNA from 1 species